UGGCCAGACUCCUACGGGAGGCAGCAGUGAGGAAUAUUGGUCAAUGGGCGGAAGCCUGAACCAGCCAAGUCGCGUGAGGGACUAAGGCCCUGCGGGUCGUAAACCUCUUUUGCCGGGGAGCAGUGGUCCGGACGCGUCCGGACCGGGAGAGUACCCGGAGAAAAAGCAUCGGCUAACUCCGUGCCAGCAGCCGCGGUAAUACGGAGGAUGCGAGCGUUAUCCGGAUUUAUUGGGUUUAAAGGGUGCGCGGGCGGUCUGUUAAGUCGGCGGUAAAAUCGCGGGGCUCAACCUCGCUCCGCCGUUGAAACUGGCGUUCUUGAGUGGGCGAGAAGUAUGCGGAAUGCGUGGUGUAGCGGUGAAAUGCAUAGAUAUCACGCAGAACUCCGAUUGCGAAGGCAGCAUACCGGCGCCCGACUGACGCUGAAGCACGAAAGCGUGGGUAUCGAACAGGAUUAGAUACCCUGGUA
rnacentral:rRNA from 1 species